UGGGGAAUAUUGCACAAUGGGCGCAAGCCUGAUGCAGCCAUGCCGCGUGUGUGAAGAAGGCCUUCGGGUUGUAAAGCACUUUCAGCGGGGAGGAAGGCGUUAAGGUUAAUAACCUUGGCGAUUGACGUUACCCGCAGAAGAAGCACCGGCUAACUCCGUGCCAACAGCCGCGGUAAUACGGAGGGUGCAAGCGUUAAUCGGAAUUACUGGGCGUAAAGCGCACGCAGGCGGUCUGUCAAGUCGGAUGUGAAAUCCCCGGGCUUAACCCGGGAAUUGCAUCUGAUACUGGUCAGCUAGAGUCUUGUAGAGGGGGGUAGAAUUCCAUGUGUAGCGGUGAAAUGCGUAGAGAUGUGGAGGAAUACCGGUGGCGAAGGCGGCCCCCUGGACAAAGACUGACGCUCAGGUGCGAAAGCGUGGGGAGCAAACAGG
rnacentral:rRNA from 1 species